AUUGGCGACGAGUCCCAAAUAGGACGAAACGCGCGUCCUGGAU
rfam:Schistosoma mansoni strain Puerto Rico chromosome 3, complete genome